GACGAACGCUGGCGGCGUGCCUAAUACAUGCAAGUAGAACGCUGAAGAGAGGAGCUUACUCUUCUUGGAUGAGUUGCGAACGGGUGAGUAACGCGUAGGUAACCUGCCUUGUAGCGGGGGAUAACUAUUGGAAACGAUAGCUAAUACCGCAUAACAAUGGAUGACACAUGUCAUUUAUUUGAAAGGGGCAAUUGCUCCACUACAAGAUGGACCUGCGUUGUAUUAGCUAGUAGGUGAGGUAAUGGCUCACCUAGGCGACGAUACAUAGCCGACCUGAGAGGGUGAUCGGCCACACUGGGACUGAGACACGGCCCAGACUCCUACGGGAGGCAGCAGUAGGGAAUCUUCGGCAAUGGGGGCAACCCUGACCGAGCAACGCCGCGUGAGUGAAGAAGGUUUUCGGAUCGUAAAGCUCUGUUGUAAGUCAAGAACGGGUGUGAGAGUGGAAAGUUCACACUGUGACGGUAGCUAACCAGAAAGGGACGGCUAACUACGUG
rnacentral:rRNA from 1 species